GGUCCUGUGGCCCAAUGGAUAAGGCGCCGGUCUACGGUUGUAGUCACGGUACUUUACCGUGAUUUAGAGCCAUGAGUGCCGAAACGCACACACAACACUCCGUCGAACGAGCCGUUCGAGUCGCAAACCGGAGAUUCCAGGUUCGAUCCCUGGCAGGAUCA
rnacentral:tRNA from 1 species